UAGGGAAUCUUCCGCAAUGGGCGAAAGCCUGACGGAGCAACGCCGCGUGAGUGAUGAAGGUCUUCGGAUCGUAAAACUCUGUUAUUAGGGAAGAACAAAUGUGUAAGUAACUAUGCACGUCUUGACGGUACCUAAUCAGAGAGACACGGCUAACUACGUGCCAGCAGCCGCGGUAAUACGUAGGUGGCAAGCGUUAUCCGGAAUUAUUGGGCGUAAAGCGCGCGUAGGCGGUUUUUUAAGUCUGAUGUGAAAGCCCACGGCUCAACCGUGGAGGAUCAUUGGAAACUGGAAAACUUGGGUGCAGAAGAGGGAAGUGGAAUUCCAUGUGUAGCAGUGAAAUGCGCAGAGAUAUGGAGGAACACCAGUGGCGAAAGCGACUUUCUGGUCUGUAACUGACGCUGAUGUGCGAAAGCGUGGGGAUCAAACAGG
rnacentral:rRNA from 1 species